UAAUAAUAUGUGAAACUUAAAGCCUUUUUAUGAAAACCACACGAAGUUUAGGCUAGGCGUGGUGCGUAUGGAUAAACUGAGUCGUGGGCUGCAUAUGCAAUGAAAUCUGGACAUGGCCACAGCAACUCUCGCCUCCCACCACCUCCAUUUCUGCUUCUCCAAAUUUUCAAUUACUAACAGAAGAAGACAAGUACGGCUAACUUAUCCAAACAGAAAUCCUCUUUCAAUAGUCUUUUGUUCUUCUUCUACUUCGCCCCCUCCGCCAUCAGAAAUCAGUGAACCCAGUACUCCCACUGCGGAGUCUUGCGUCAAUGUGGGCCUUGACCUCUUUUCUAAAGGACGGGUAUUUUCCUACUUCUUUUCUCAGUUUCAUUGCUGUAAUUCCUCUAUUUAUUGAUAUUCUUGGUGUUGUAGACAUAAAAUGAAUAAAUCGAAGUUCUUUUUGUUAGUAUUAAUUUCAGGUGUUUUCACUAAACUUUACCCAUUGUAUCAUAAAAGUGGCAAUUUCCCAUUGAGUGAAUCUUAUGGUGACAGACUGACAAUUGCACUCCUGCUGGUCAGUGAACCCAGUACGCCCACUGCCGAGUCUUGCGUCAAUGUGGGGCUUGACCUCUUUUCUCAAGGACGG
rnacentral:lncRNA from 1 species